AUUGAACGCUGGCGGCAGGCCUAACACAUGCAAGUCGAACGAGGGGGGGAGGGGUGAGUAAGUUCUGGGAAACUGCCGGAGGGAGGGGGAUAACUACGGGAAACGGUAGCUAAUACCCAAUACCAUAAGAUGUGCCAAGAUGGGAUUGGCUUGUUGGUGGGGUAACGGCUCACCAAGGCGACGAUCCCUAGCUGGUCGGAGAGGAUGACCAGCCACACUGGAACGGAGACACGGUCCAGACUCCUACGGGAGGCAGCAGUGGGGAAUAUUGCACAAUGGGCGCAAGCCUGAUGCAGCCAUGCCGCGUGUAUGAAGAAGGCCUUCGGGUUGUAAAGUACUUUCAGCGGGGAGGCGUUACCCGCAGAAGAAGCACCGGCUAACUCUGUGCCAGCAGCCGCGGUAAUUC
rnacentral:rRNA from 1 species